ACCAAUCAAAUGGUUCACAGUUGUGGCCGUGGAUCUAGUAUCCAUCCAAACUCCAAAGUCGGAGGUAUUUCCCAAGGAAAAUAAGAACAAGACGAGAAGCUCGCCGUGAUUUGUCUUGGAUUUCGGAGAAGAGUAAAAGGACGAAGCAGCGAAGAUGACGAGAGGAAAGCAGAAGAUCGAAGCCCAGAAACGAAACGCUGAGAAAAACCAGAAACAAAAGGGGUCCCAGUUUGAAGCAAGAGCUGUAGCUCUCAAAGUCAGCUGCCCCGUCUGCAAGGUGCAGCUAGCAAAUGAGAACCAGCUUGGAGACCACUAUGCUUCCAAACAUCCGAAGGAAAAGGCACCUUCUGACUCAGGUUGAUUUACUAUUAAAUCAAUAAAAAACUGCAGACUUGUGUGUAUCAAAAACUUGGGAUGUAUUUGACUAAUCAUCUAAUCAAAGCCACUGCUUCUGUUCUUCCUACAUUUGUAUCGCACUUGCUCUUUGUUUUGUUUGGCAGGAAUAACUAAGCUUUGGCCAA